rnacentral:rRNA from 1 species
UACAGAGGUCCCAAGCGUUGUUCGGAUUCACUGGGCGUAAAGGGUGCGUAGGCGGUCGGGUAAGUCUGAUGUGAAAUCUCACAGCUUAACUGUGAAACUGCAUUGGAUACUGUCGGGCUUGAGUAUGGGAGAGGUGAGUGGAAUUUCCGGUGUAGCGGUGAAAUGCGUAGAUAUCGGAAGGAACACCUGUGGCGAAAGCGGCUCACUGGACCAUUACUGACGCUGAUGCACGAAAGCUAGGGGAGCAAACAGG